UAAUACCUGCGCCCCAAGUCGUCACCACGUUUAUUGGGCUUAGAGCAUUCGUAGCCGGUCCACUAAGUUCCUAAUGAAAUCCCUUAGUUAACUAAGGGGCGUGUUGGGAAUACUAGUGGACUAGGGACCGGGAGAGGUGCAGGGUAUUCCUGGGGUAGCGGUAAAAUGCUUUAAUCCCAGGAGGACCACCUGUGGCGAAGGCGCUGCACUAGAACGGAUCCGACGGUGAGGGAUGAAAGCUAGGGGAGCGAAGCGGAUUAGAUACCCGUGUAGUCCUGGCUGUAAACGAUGCCCGCUAGACAUUGGCAUUCUCACGGGGGGUGCCAGAGUCGUAGGGAAACCGUUAAGCGGGCCGCCUGGGGAGUACGAUCGCAAGGUUG
rnacentral:rRNA from 1 species